GCCCCCAUAGCUCAGUGGAUAGAGCGCCGGCCUCCGGAGCCGGGUGCGCAGGUUCAAGUCCUGCUGGGGGUA
rnacentral:tRNA from 1 species